GUCUUUUUGAGUAUAAUUUAAAGUCUAACCUGCCCACUGAGUAUUAAAUGGCCGCAGUAUUUUGACUGUGCAAAGGUAGCAUAAUCAUUAGUUUUUUAAUUAAAAACUGGAAUGAAGGGUUGAACGAGAAAAUAACUGUCUCUUUAUAAAUUAUUUAGAAUUUUAUUUUUAAGUAAGAAAGCUUAAAUUAAAUUAAAAGACGAGAAGACCCUAUAGAGUUUUAUAUAAUUUGGAUAAAUUAUUAUUAUAUAGAAUUAUUAAAUUUUUUUAUAAUAUUAUAUUUAAUUGGGGUGAUUGAAAAAUUUAAUUAACUUUUUUUUUAUAAAAACAUUAAUUUAUGAUUUAUUGAUCCAUUAUUAUUGAUUAUAAGAUUAAAUUACCUUAGGGAUAACAGCGUAAUUUCUUUGGAGAGUUCUGAUCGAUAAAGAAGUUUGCGACCUCGAUGUUGGAUUAAAAUUAAAUUUUGGUGUAGAAGCUAAAAGAUUAGGUCUGUUCGACCUUUAAAAUUUUACAUGAUCUGAGUUUAAACCGGUGUGAGCCAGGUUGGUUUCUAUCUUUAAUAAAUUUUUAUGUUUUAGUACGAAAGGACCAAAUAAAAAUAAAACUUAUUGAAUAGUGAUUAUAAUUAAUAGAUUA
rnacentral:rRNA from 1 species